CGCUACUACCUGGAAGCCAGUGCGGCGGCGGGUCGAGCUAGAGCGGAGGCCAGCGGGGAGACAUAGCAAGCUAGAGCUGAGACCCGAGGUCCAAAGUGGGGCUAGGCGGUGAGCCGCCGUGGCGAGGGCGGGGUGGCGGCGUAGGGUACUCGCCAAGGCGAGGGCGGGGCGCCGUCUGGCGGCAGGGGCGAGACGGACGAGGGUGAGGCGUCGCCUGGCGGCCGGAACGAGGGCGGGGCGCCGCCAUGCGGCCGGGACGAGGGCCGGGCCCCGCCAGGGGGCCGGGACGAGGGCGGGGCGCCGCCUGGCGGCCGGGACGAGGGCGGGGCGCCGCCAUGCGGUCGGGACGAGGGCGGGGCGCCGCCAGGCGGUCGGGACGAGGGCGGGGCGCCGACUGGCGACCGGGGCGAGGCGGCGCCUGGCAACGGUGGGGUGGUCCGCCGGGGUGAGCGAGGAGCGGAACCUGCCAGCGGUACGGUGGUUCGCCGGGGCAGAGAAAGAGGGGCGGCGCCUGGCAGUGGUGCGGUGCUCCGCGGGUGCGAGCGAGGGACGGCGCCUGGGAGCGGUGGUGUGCUCAAACGGGACGAGCGAGGGGCGGCGCCUGGUAGCCGUGGCGAUCGAGGAGCGGCGCCUGGCAGCGGCUCGGUGCUCCGACGGGUCGAGCACGGGACAGCGUCUGGCGGUACGGUGGUCCGCUGUGACGAGCACGGGGCGGCGCCUGACAGCGGUACGGCGAGGUGCCGGCGUGAGGACGGAAGCUGGUAGUAGAAGGCUACGAGGACGGUGACCCGCUACUACCUCUACCUUGUUUGUUCCACACCUGUCCCCUCUUCUCCGCGGCGUUCAUGGAUGGGGGUAGUAGAAGGCUACGAGGACGGUGAUGGGUCGUAGAAGUUCUGGGCUAAAGAGUACGCUGUCUGUACCUCUACCUCCUGUGGUAGAACGGUGUUCUUCCACCGCUACUCGUGUGGCCCGGUCCGCAAUAAGAGUGGUUCCUUCUGGUCCGGCUUAUACGAUUUUAAAACGCAGGGUUAUAAAGAGGAGGAUAACUGGGCUUGAGAAUAUACCGUAAACUCCUGAUGCUGCUCUAUCUUCUCGCGGAACGUGCGGAAGCGUAGCGAAUAAUGUUCUAACACUUCGGUCUCCGACGUGUACUUGAUUUCCUUGGUCUUCUCAUGUGGCUCCUACUUGAAUAAUUCCUCAGGAUGAAAGCCGUAAACCUCCUACUACUAUCAAAACUCACCAAGAAGGUAGCGCUACUAUCGGUCUUGGGACCUAACUUACUGAUGGUUGCGUAACAGGAAUCAUUAAAGGACGGACUAUCAACACUUGCGGACAUAGCGAUAGUGCUACUAAUGGCGAGUGCAAUAGUAUGUAUACUUUAACUAAGGCAAAUACAGUUCAUGAUACCUCUUUAUAGUUUCUUUAACUUCACCCAACGUCUAAUACAUUUAGACCUAGCGUCAUGGCUCUUCACCUCUUUGUACCUAUGAUAUCGUACCUCCGUUCGUAACUCCUAACGUUGGGUGAAGGGGGUAUACUGACAAGCAAAUCGACGAAAACGAAUAUUACUCAUGUAAUAUCUCGACUCUCUUCUACGCAGGGAGUUCCUGUAUCUAGAAGAGAUAAAACUCUAUACCUCCGAACAGCGGUUCCUUCUAUCUUUUAUGAAUCUACGACACUUCCUUCAUAUACGUUACCUGUUUAAACGAUAUGUGUUUUCCCAUGAUGUACGACUUGACUUACGCCGAUGACAGAAACAUUGUUAUUUCGUUUACUAAAUAAGAUAACAGUGCCUCCCACCGUAACUAGACUUCCGAUUCCUCCUACUUCGAGCCCUACACAAAUCGUUCAAUCGAAAGCCCUUCGUAUUUUGUUUCUUGUACCGCGUCAUGCGACUCUUCUUCUACCUCUAGCGUCCAGCCAACCCAAACCUGUUUUUCAGGUAGUAGGGGAAGCUGUUGAGGCGAGUACGUCGAGGUGACGAGGGGUCGCUGUGGCCACUGCGGCGCGUCGAGGUGGUGCGGCGCGGCGGCGCUGGGCGUCGAGGUGGUGUGGCGCGGCGGCGCUGGGGGUCGAGGUGGCGCGUCGAGGCGGUGCUGGGCGUCGAGGUGGCGAGGGAGGUAGGGACGGGCAGCUAAACAAGGGAUUUUAUGAGUGUAAAGGGAUAGGGACGGGCGCUGCUCCGGCUUACACAUGGUGAGGUCGUAGGGGUCGCGCCGCAGGUCGGUCUCCUUCUCCGUCAGCACCCGCCGCGCCUUCUGCGGCAGCCGGAGGUGGUCGCGGAGCUACAUCUACAACCUCGGCGGCCGUUUUAAAGUUUAACCCUUUUCGUUUUAGAGUGGAAAGGAAAAGGCCGCCUAUACUUCCGCCUAGAGAGGAGAAGUAUCCUUAACGGACGACAACGGUAACUACACAACGACGACGAAGAAGUUAAGCACCGCGACGACGAAGAAGUUAAGCACCGCGACGACGAAGUUAACGGUUGAGAAGAACGGCAUGACGACCACGAAGUUUAGUUGUCUCCUCCGCUACUGUUGUAAAUCAGGACUAAAAGACGGUCCUUGUUCUUGUCUCCGCCUCAUGGUCUCCGCAGCCCCAGCCCCCGCCCAUUUUUUUCUUCCGAGUAAGAUCAAAGAUGUUGUCCAAUACGAUCACUUAAGUUUGAUACGAAACAAACUAAGUCUAAUACGAUCACUUAAGUCAAUGAAGUGGAGUGGAAGUGAAGUGGUUUAAAGACUGUGUCCUGUGACUUACCUCAUACUAACUGUCUGUGUUUUGUGACAUUUACAGUCUAUUGUAGUCGUCAUCUAGUCGUAACGUUAACUCUUAAAAUUAUGAGGUUAACUGUGACGUUAACUGCGACUACCUCAUGAAGAAACUGUUUUACUUUAACUAUGACGUUAACCGUGACAUGGACGUCGGUUGUCGUCGUCGUCUCCGUUAGUCGUCAGCUCCACGAGCUCCCGUCUCCGUUAGUCGUCAGCUCCCGUCUUCGUUAGUCGUCUCCGUUAGUCGUCUUCGUUAGUCGUCUUCGUUAGCCGACACCGUAGUCGUCCAAACGCACCAGGAGAGAGGCGGCCCCUUCUAGGCGGAACGGGACGGACGGCUUAAGAAGUUCUCCCCUCGCCGCUGGCCCCAGCCGUCGCCGCCGACCCCAACGGCGCUCCCACUCCUUGGCCGCUCGUCCCGGUCCCUGCGCUCGUCCCGGUGCUCCUCCUCCGCGGGCAGUUCCACCAGCUCCUCGUCGGAGUCGACCCGCCGCCCCGUCGAGCGGAGGCACGCCUACCGGGUGCAAGCAUCGCCGACUCGUUGGCGUCCACCCGAUGCCGCGUCCACCCGCAGCCGCCUCCACCAGCGGGCGAGAAAGAUGCCGCCGACGACCGCCACCGACGGCCGCCACCGAUACUGCCGGCGAACCAGCUUCCUCCUUCUUCGUCUCCACUCCCCCCCUAAUCGUGAUCUAAAUUUUGGCCUUCCAAAAAAAACAUUUUAAACUUUACUUGAUUCGAGACCUGUUGAAAAAGGCCUGCCUCCCUCAUGUAUUGGUCGGGUGGUCAGACUUAACACCUACCACUAGCCGAGAUCAAAUUUAAUCACCUCAGGUCAGUGUAGCAAACAUUACAAUAAUAAGAACAUACUACGUGAGGGAGACAUUUAAUUAAAUUCUGCAGAA
rnacentral:rRNA from 1 species